rnacentral:rRNA from 1 species
AGCAGCCGCGGUAAUUCCAGCUCCAAUAGCGUAUAUUAAAGUUGUUGCAGUUAAAAAGCUCGUAGUUGAAUUUCGGGGUUAGUAAGUUGGUCAUGCCUUCGGUAUGUACUGGUCCCACUGAUUCCUCCUUCCUGAUGAACUGUAAUGCCAUUAAUUUGGUGUUGCAGGGAAUCUGGACUGUUACUUUGAAAAAAUUAGAGUGUUUAAAGCAGGCUAACGCCUGAAUACAUUAGCAUGGAAUAAUGAAAUAGGACGUUCGAUCCUAUUUUGUUGGUUUCUAGGAUUGACGUAAUGAUUAAUAGGGAUAGUUGGGGGCAUUAGUAUUCAAUUGUCAGAGGUGAAAUUCUUGGAUUUAUUGAAGACUAACUACUGCGAAAGCAAUUUGCCAAGGAUGUUUUCAUUAAUCAAGAACGAAAGGUUAGGGGAUCGAAGACGAUCAGAUACCGUCGU